UACGUAGGGGGCAAGCGUUGUCCGGAAUCAUUGGGCGUAAAGAGCGUGUAGGCGGCUCGGUAAGUCCGCUCUGAAAGCCCGGGGCUCAACCCCGGGAGGCGGGCGGAUACUGUCAGGCUAGAGUCCGGAAGAGGCGAGUGGAAUUCCUGGUGUAGCGGUGAAAUGCGCAGAUAUCGGGAAGAACACCCGUGGCGAAGGCGGCUGCUCUGGGACGGUACUGACGCUGAGACGCGAAAGCGUGGGGAGCGAACAGG
rnacentral:rRNA from 1 species